CCAGUACUCCCUCCGUCCGCAAAUACUUGUCCUUAAAAUGGUUGUAUUUAGACUUAUUUUAGUUAUAGAUACAUUCAUUUUAUCUAUUUAUAGGACAAAGUAUUUCCGGACGGAGGCUACAGUACGAG
rnacentral:pre_miRNA from 1 species